GAUGAACGCUAGCUACAGGCUUAACACAUGCAAGUCGAGGGGCAGCAUGGUCUUAGCUUGCUAAGGCCGAUGGCGACCGGCGCACGGGUGAGUAACACGUAUCCAACCUGCCGUCUACUCUUGGACAGCCUUCUGAAAGGAAGAUUAAUACAAGAUGGCAUCAUGAGUCCGCAUGUUCCCAUGAUUAAAGGUAUUCCGGUAGACGAUGGGGAUGCGUUCCAUUAGAUAGUAGGCGGGGUAACGGCCCACCUAGUCUUCGAUGGAUAGGGGUUCUGAGAGGAAGGUCCCCCACAUUGGAACUGAGACACGGUCCAAACUCCUACGGGAGGCAGCAGUGAGGAAUAUUGGUCAAUGGGCGAGAGCCUGAACCAGCCAAGUAGCGUGAAGGAUGACUGCCCUAUGGGUUGUAAACUUCUUUUAUAAAGGAAUAAAGUCGGGUAUGGAUACCCGUUUGCAUGUACUUUAUGAAUAAGGAUCGGCUAACUCCGUGCCAGCAGCCGCGGUAAUACGGGGGAUCCGAGCGUUAUCCGGAUUUAUUGGGUUUAAAGGGAGCGUAGAUGGAUAUUUAAGUCAGUUGUGAAAGUUUGCGGCUCAACCGUAAAAUUGCAGUUGAUACUGGAUAUCUUGAGUGCAGUUGAGGCAGGCGGAAUUCGUGGUGUAGCGGUGAAAUGCUUAGAUAUCACGAAGAACUCCGAUUGCGAAGGCAGCCUGCUAAGCUGCAACUGACAUUGAGGCUCGAAAGUGUGGGUAUCAA
rnacentral:rRNA from 1 species